AUGUCGGCAGUGGUAGCGCCUCUGCCUGGCAGUGGAGACAGGUCUAGAUUACCUAGACUAGCCUCUCAACCAGCGGGAUUUGACAGUGUGGUGUCUUACAGAAAGUUUGCUCCCAGACAUGGGUCCCUCGACUUCCUGCCUCAGAAGCCCAGCAGCAGGCAUCGUGGAAAGGUGAAGAGCUUCCCUAAGGAUGACCCUUCCAGGCCGGUCCACCUCACAGCCUUCCUGGGAUACAAGGCUGGCAUGACCCACAUCGUGUGGGAAGUCAACAGGCCAGAAUCCAAAGUGAACAAGAAGGAGGUCGUAGAGGCUGUGACCAUUGUGGAGACACCACCCAUAGUGGUUGUGGGCAUUGUGGGCUAUGUGGGAACCCCUCGGGGCCUCCAGACCUCCAAGGCCAUCUUCUCUGAGCACAUCAUCGAUGAGUGCAAGAGACAUUUCUGUAAGAACUGGCAUAAAUCUAAGACCACGGCCUUUACCAAGUACUACAAGAAGUGGCAGGAUGAGGAUGACAAGAAGCAGCUGGAGAAGGACUUCAGCAGCAUGAAGAAGUACUGCCAAGUCGUCCGAGUCAUUGCCCACACCCAGAUGCACCCGCUUCCUCUGCACCAGAAGAAGGCCCACCUGAUGGAGAUCCAGAUGAACGGAGGCACUGUGGCCAAGAAGCUGGAUUGGGCCUGUGAGAGGCUGGAGCAGCAGGUAUCUGUGAACCAAGUGUUUGGGCAGGAGGAGGUGAUCAAUGUCAUCGGGGUGACCAAGGGUAAAGGCUACAAAGGGGUCACCAGUUAUUGGCAAACCAAGAAGCUGCCCUGCAAAACCCACCGAGGCCUGCAUGAGGUGGCCUGUAUUGGGGCAUGGCAUCCUGCCCAUGUGGCCUUCUCUGUGGCACAUAAUGAGCAGAAAGACUACCAUCACUGCACUGAGAUCAACAAGAAGAUCUGUAAGAUCAGCCAGAGCUACCUUAUCAAGGAUGGCAAACUCAUCAAAGAACAAUGCCUCCACUGACUAUGACCCGUCUGACAAGAGCAUCAACCCUCUGGGUGGUUUUCAAACCUAAUCCAGUGACUUUGUCAUGCUAAAAGGCUGUGUGGUGGGAACCAAGAAGGAAGUGCUCACCCUCUGCAACUCCUUGCUGGUGGAGACCAAAUGGCAGACUCUGGAGAAGAUUGGCCUUAAGUUCAUUGACAUCACCUCCAAUUUGAACAUGCUGUUUCCAGACCAUGGAGGAGAAGAAAGCAUUCAUGGGACCACUCAAGAAAGACCGAAUUGCAAAGGAAGAAGGAGCAUAAUGCCAGGAACAGAUUUUGCAGCUGGUGAGGUCUCAAUAAAAGUUACUUUCCACUGGAAAAAAAGAAAA